rnacentral:rRNA from 1 species
UACGAAGGGGGCUAGCGUUGUUCGGAUUUACUGGGCGUAAAGCGCACGUAGGCGGAUCGAUCAGUCAGGGGUGAAAUCCCAGGGCUCAACCCUGGAACUGCCUUUGAUACUGUCGAUCUGGAGUAUGGAAGAGGUGAGUGGAAUUCCGAGUGUAGAGGUGAAAUUCGUAGAUAUUCGGAGGAACACCAGUGGCGAAGGCGGCUCACUGGUCCAUUACUGACGCUGAGGUACGAAAGCGUGGGGAGCAAACAGG